UCCGCGCGUCCCUCGUCGCCCGCCCAGGGUCCCUGUGGUUUGGGGUUCCAGCCUCUCUCAAGCCCUGGGAGACGGCGCUGGACUCAACGCCACGGGACUGGCACGGGACUGGCACUGUGGUGGCCAGGGACUGGAAGAUGCUUUUCUCCAUCGUGAGCCAGUCUGCCCGAGCUUCCUGAUCUGCGUGCAGACAGGUUCCCGUCCCCGGUCCCAAAGAACCCGCGGGAUUAGGAGAAACUUGGGGAUCCGCCUGUUGAGGCAGCUGUUGAAAACUGUGGUUCUUGGGGCUGGAGAAGUCGUUCAGUGGUGGUUAGGAGUGUUUGUCUGGUCUGAAGAAAGCCUUGGGGGUCAUUCGCCAGCGCCUCACAAAGACUGGUGUGAUGGCACGGGCUUGAAAUGCUAGCUAGUACUCAGUAGGUGGAGGCCAAGAGGAUCCAAAUCUCAAGGCCAUUUUGGGUUCGAAACCUGCUGGAGACCAGCCUGGAAUGCACGAGGGCCCGUUGAAAUACGGAAGGGAAAGAUGGUAGGUGUAAUUCUUCAAAGCCAGUUUAAGAAAGAUGCAACAUGUCUAAAGUAGCAGGAGUCUUGCGGAUAUGGAGGUAGUAAUUGAUGCGUGCAUUGCACCGAAGCUUCACCGCAGCGGACCACUCAACUGCAGUGCACCAGAGACACUUAAUGAACCAGUGAGGACAUUAUACCUGCUCCUGAAGAACAACUGUGUGUGAAACCAUGUUGUACUCUGGGUGAAGGCUCAGAAACUUCAUGGAGAAGAAGGCAAGAACCAAGCCAGCAGCUGCAGCUGCCACAGACCCAGCAGGACACCAGAGGUGUCACACCCACUCAAAGGCCUGGAUGAAGCUUGAGUGAAGUCAUGAGGUAGGUCUUGCAUGCAGGCUGAUGUGCUGUAAACUCCACUGGACUACAUACAAAGCAGCAUUUAGCUCUGGACUUUUUUUCACGCUAAGCGUGCAUGUGUACAUGCAUGCACACACGUACCUUAAGCACAAGCACACAUGAGCACUGGUAUGUGCCUGGAGAUCAGAGGACGAUUUGCAGAAAUUGAUCCUCCUCCCACAUGUGGACCCAGGGGUCAAGCUCAGGCCAUUGUGCUGGGCAGUGAGCACUUUUACCUGCUGAGGCAUCUCGUUGGCCCAAUUUUUUACAUUCCUUUCAAAGGUAUCUUUGGGAUUUUUCUUUUUCUUUUUUCCCUAAAUGACUUACUUUAUUUUAUGUGCAUUGGUAUUUGGUCUGAAUGCAUGUCUGCGUGAAGGCGUUGGAUUACUUGAAGCUGUAUCCUCUGUAAGAAUAACCUGUGCUCUUAACCACUGAGCCAUCUCUCCAGCCUCACCUUUGGGAUUCUCAUCUACUGUAACGAUUAAUGGGAGAUUUAAAAAUCAGUGGUAUUGGGUUGGAGAGAUGG